rnacentral:rRNA from 1 species
GACAGAGGGUGCAAGCGUUGUUCGGAAUCAUUGGGCGUAAAGGGCGCGUAGGCGGUUUUGUAAGUCGAAUGUGAAAGCCCAGGGCUCAACCUUGGAAGUGCGUCCGAAACUGCGAAACUUGAAUCCUGGAGAGGGUGGUGGAAUUCCCAGUGUAGAGGUGAAAUUCGUAGAUAUUGGGAGGAACACCGGUGGCGAAGGCGACCACCUGGACAGAGAUUGACGCUGAGGCGCGAGAGCGUGGGGAGCAAACAGG